rnacentral:lncRNA from 1 species
AUUGGCAUACAGACAGACAUGUUGGUCAAUGGAACAGAAUAGAGAGUACAAAAAUAAACCUUUACAUUUAUGGACAAUUGAUUUUUGACAGUGGUGCAAAGGCAAUCCCCGUAGAAAAGACAGCUUUUUUUCAACAGAUAAUGUUUAUUGAUAUGGUUUGGCUGUGUCCCCACACAGAUUUCAUCUUGAAUUAUAGUUUUCAUAAUCCCCAUGUGUCAUGGGAGGGACCCGGUGGGAGGUAAUUGAAUCAUGGGGGCAGUUACCCUCAUGCUGUUCUCAUGAUAGUGAGUGAGUUCUCAUGAGAUCUGGUGGUUUUAUAAGGGCCUUUCCCCUUUUUGCUUGACACUUCUCCUUGCUGCCACCACGUGAAGAAGGAUGUGUUUGCUUCCCUUUCUACCAGAUUGUAAGUUUCCUGAGGCCUCCCCAGCCAUGCUGAACUGAGUCAAUUAAACCUCUUUCCAUUAUAAAUUACCUAAUCUUUGGUAUGUCUUUAUUAGCAGCGUAAGAAUGGACUAAUAUAGAAUUGAAUUGAUAUACAAUAAAUGACUUUAGACCUUUAUCUCACAUCAUACACAAAAUUAUUAUUUUUUGCCUUUUUAAUUUGUAUUUUUAUUUAAUAUUUUUUAUUUCAAUAGCUUUUGGGGUACAAGUGGUUUUUGGUUGCAUGGAUGAAUUGUACAGUGAUGAAAUCUGAGAUUUUAAUGCAAGCGUCACCUGAGUAAUAUACGUUGUACCAAAUAUGUAGCUUUUUGUCACUUGCCCUCCCUCCUACCCUCCCCCUUCUGAGUCUCCAUAGUCCAUUAUAUCACUCUGUAUGCCUUUGCAUACCCAUAGCUUAGCUCCCACUGGUAAGCGAGAACAUGCAAUAUUUGGCUUUCUAUUCCUGAGUUAUUUCACUUAGAAUUAUGGCCGCCGGCUCCAUCAAAGUUGCUGCAGAAAACAUUAUUUUAUUCUUGCUUAUGGCUGAGUCGUAUUUAUGGUAUAUAUAUACCUUAUUUUCCUUAUCCACUUAUUGGUUGAUGAGCACUUAGGUUAGUUCCUUAUCUUUGCAGUUGUGAAUUGUGCUGCAAUGAAUAUAUGCAUGCAGGUGUCUUUUUUAUAAUGAUUUUUUUUCCUUUGGGUAGAUACUCAGAAAUGGGAUUGUUGGAUCGAAUGGUAGCUCUACUUUUAAUUUUUAAAGAAAUCUCCAUACUGUUUUCUAUAGAGGUUGUACUAAUUUACAUUCCCACCAGCAGAUAUACACAAAAAUUAAUUUAAAUGGACCAUAAGCUUCCAUGUAAGAACUAAAACUAUAAAACUUCUUUAAAAGAUAGAAGAAAAAUCUUUGUGGCCUUGAAUUAGGUAAAAAAAAGAUUUUUAGAUUUGACAUCAAAAAUAUGAUUCAUAAAAGAAAAUAUUGAUAAAUUAUACUUCAACAAAAUUUAAAACUUUUCUUCUUCAAAAGACAGCAUUAAGAAAGUAAACAGAUAAACUAUACACUUGGAGAAAAUAUUUGCAAAUGGUUUAUUUGAUCAAGGAUUUAUAUACAGAUAAUGCAAAGAAUUUGAACAGCUCAAUAGUUAGAAGCUAAUUAAAAAUGUGUAAAGGAUUUUAGUAGACAUAUCACCUAAGAAGAUAUAUAAAUGGCUAACACAUGAAAAAUGUUCCAAAUAAUUAAUCAUUAGGGAAAUGCAACUAAAACCAGAAUAACGUACAUUCAGUUCAUACCCACUAAAAUGCCUAUAAUUAAGAGAUUGACAAUACCAAGUAUUGACAAGUAUGUGUUGGUAAGAUUUUAAAAUGACAUAGUCAUUUGGAAAAUAGUUUGAAAGUGUGUUAAAAAGUUAAACCUGUACUUAACAAACGAUCCAUCAAUUUCACUCCUAAGUAUCUAUGAAGAGAAUUGAAGGUUUAUGUCUACCUAAAAGCGUACAUGGGGGUGUUUGAAGCCACAUUAUUCAUAAUAAGUAAAAACUGAAAAUAAUUCAAAUAUCCAUUAACUGGUGCAUAGAUAAAGUAAACUAUCCAUUAACUGGUGCAUAGUAGAUCUGUACAAUGGAAUCCCUAGCAGCAGCGAACCAAGGCUUCAAAGUUCCCUAGUGGUUUCUUUGCCCUCACUGCUGCAUGCCACAAAAAGACCAUGCUAUGAAAAGACCAACAUCUCCAAGCAUAGCUGUAGAUGACUUUGCUUUCACUUCUGGUUACAACUGAACUUACUCAUUCUUUGUCUUCUAAAGAAGCCAUUCAUUUCUUGAGAACUUUUCUGGUGUUUGGUUCCAGAAUCUGUCUUUUAGAUGACAAUUUUUUUUCUUCAGAGUUAGACACAGACUCCAUGGCAUUUUACUAUAUUUAUAGCGUAUUUUUAUUAUAGUUAUGAAAUCAGUUUUUUUCUUUUUAAUGGAGUUCUUUUUCAAGUUUGAUUUUUUCUUUUUUCUUUUCUUUUUUUUUUGUGUGUGUGUUUGUUUGUUGAGACAGGGUUUCACUCUGUCACCUAGGCUGGAGUGCAGUGGCAUGACCUCAGCUCACUGCAACCUCCACCUCCUGGGUUCAAGCCAUUCUCCUACCUUAGCCUCCAGAGUAGCUGGGACUAGAGGUAGGCACCACUACGCCUGGCUAAUUUUUGUAUUUUUUUGUAGAGACAGGGUUUCACCAUGUUGGUCAGGCUGGUCUUGAACCCCUGACCUCAAGUGAUCCACCCACCUUGGCCUUCCAAAAUGCUGGGAUUACAGGCGUGAGCUACUAUGCCCAGCCCCGAAUUUGAUUUUAUUAUACCAAUAUUAUCUUCUCCCCCUCCCACAGUUCCCCAAACACUUCUCUACACACUCUGGUCUGGCACAGUUUCAAAUUUGUGGAGUUGAUAUCUGGGGCUCCUACUGGAAGGAGGAUAAAAACAGAAGGAAUUUGGCACGGGGCUCCUCCAUCUUCCACGCAUGCGGCAUUUGUUCUGAGAAUGUCAGCUCCCUCACAGUGCAUGUCAGAAUGGCAUGCCAGCAUGGGCCUCUGGUCUAGCACACAGAAAGGGUGAAGAGUACACAUGGUGACCAUUGUCACUUUGCAGAUUUCCUGCCUCCCACUCACAUGUCUGAGACCAGUUUUGCUACUGUUGCACCGCUAACCACAGAAGCCAGAAAGGGAAACGACUUUCUUUCUUUUCUUCUUUUUUUUUUUUUUUUUUUGAGAUGGAGUCUCACUUUGUCGCCAGGCUGGAGUGCAGUGGCACGAUCUCGGCUCACCGCAACCUCCAACUCCCUGGUUCAAGCUAUUCUCCUGCCUCAGCCUCCCAAGUAGCUGGGAUUACAGGCAUGCACCACCACACCCAGCUAAUUUGUGUAUUUUUAGUAGAGACAGGAUUUCACCACGUUGGCCAGGCUGGUCUUGAUCUCCUGACUGUGUGAUCCACCCGCCUUGGCCUGUCAAAGUGAUGAGAUUACAGGCGUGAGCCACUGAGCCCAGCCAGGGAAAAUAAGUUUUCAAUAGAGAAUUUUCUAUUAAGGAAGAGAGUGUUCUUUCAGCAAAGACAGGCUUUAGCCACACCUGUUUUUAUAAGGAUUUGAGGGGAGGGAAAUAUGCCAAGAGACAACUUCAGAAGUUUAUAAAGACAAGAGCGACCUCUCCAAAACAGCUAGGAGAGUGGGUCUUUAGUGGUGAGGUCUUCAUCUCUGUCUGAUCUCUCUAGGCUGAAGGAAAGAUGUGAAUUUGCUGUGAAGGGAUAUUCUCCUCAAGGACACUUACCAUCUGUUUCCUGGGGAUAGGAAGGUAAGUCAUCAGUGUCAAGAACCUUACUGGUAAAACAAUAAAACAAUGUAUUCAUUCGGAUUUGUGCUCUUUAAGUGAGAGGGGUUCUAGAACAGCCUUUCUGUCUGGACCCCUUGAUGGUAAACCAUCCCGUGUGAGGUCUGCUCUUUACUGUGUGGACGAGGCCAGGGCUGUUAUUUGACAUCCGUGGCCACAGCCCACAGUCUAACGUCGGCCAGCUCCGGUGUGAUUGUACUUAGUACAUCAGUAGUCAUGAGAAAACUGGCUAAGAAAACACAGAGCUUCAACUGGAACAAAAUAUUAUACGUGCAACACCCAUGACCGUGUGGCUGUUUUAUCCCCAUUGCUCCUUUCUUUUCUGCAGAAGGUUCUUUUUAAAUUUUAACGUAUAUUUGUCCAAUUGUUUGGUAAUGCAAUUGUACAAAUAUACGUCAAGUUGCCUGGAAUUCUCCUUUCGUGUGCAGACAGGCUGAUCCAAGUCUGUGCCUCCAUCUACCUUCUAUAUAACUCUCACACACCAAACCAAUAUUUCCCUUAUCCUAAAUCAACCCAAGGCCAGGUUCCAGGCAACUAGAGACCACCCCCUAUAGCCCAGGCUCACCCAUGUUAUUCAAAGUAGCCAGUCCUAAACUGAUGGCCCGGCCCUGCCUUGCCUUUCCUGCAGAAACUCCAGUAAGGGCUGUGGCCCACGCCUUCUCACUCAUCUUUUGCCUCUUGACCAUCCUAACGCUUUCUCUGUGGCCCUGCGUGUUGUGGCAUGUCCCCUCCUCUCAGGAACUGUAAGAAAACUUCUUUCAGUAACAUUGGCCUCUCCACAUCAUCAUUCAGUCACUUCCAUAAACUAAAAUCCUGCUGUUACAAUUGAGACAAUAUAUAUAUUGUCUCAAUAUAUAAAGAACAUAUAAUAUAUAAAGAAUAGUAUAA